rnacentral:snoRNA from 15 species
GCUAGCUGAAAAUCGCCUGCGGCGUCACCCGUGGCCGCGGGUGAGAUUCGGCGCCCAGAGCAACCAGGGGCCUUAGCUCGCCGCCUACUGCCUGCGUGUAGGCGGCCGAAACCCAGGUCCCAACAGGC